UACGUAGGUGGCAAGCGUUGUCCGGAAUUAUUGGGCGUAAAGCGCGCGCAGGCGGUCCUUUAAGUCUGAUGUGAAAUCCCACGGCUCAACCGUGGAACGGCCUCGGAUACGGGCGGCCUCGAGGGGGGUAGGGGCAUCUGGAACUGUGAGUGGAGCGGUGAAAUGCGUUGAUAUUCACAGGAACUCCGGUGGCGAAGGCGAGGUGCUGGACCCCAUCUGACGCUGAGGCGCGAAAGCCAGGGGAGCGAACGGG
rnacentral:rRNA from 1 species